rfam:Beta vulgaris subsp. vulgaris Bvchr8.sca017.con0077.1, whole genome shotgun sequence.
AUACCUUUCUCGGCCUUUUAGCCUGGUUAAGAUCAAGUGUAGUAUCUAUUCUUAUCAUUUUAAUAUCUGAUACAUGGGUCAUUGACCCACAACGAUAUUAAAUUUAUUUUUUUAGGGGGAGCAUCCACCAAAGUAGCUUGCUAUUGGAUCCUUGAGCACUAUUGCAUUGCAUGGGCUAGGUGCACCCCCA